UGUGAGCCACCGGGCCUGCCCUGGACCAACGUUCUUCUAACAGGACGAAUAUGCUUAACUCGUAUGAAACUGGACUGCAGUCUGCUCUAAAGGUGUGCCUCCUUCUUUGGCGAAUUUAUAAGGAAGUCCCCACAGCCCUCAGGACAGAGACUGAACAAGGGAUGUGACUGCUGUGAAUACUCCCAGCCAAAGGCCAUCAGGACACCCGGAGUUGAACAAGGGGGUUAGAAAUUGCCCUGAAGGAAGAGGUGGACAACUCUGCCAGACACUGGGAAGAUCAGUGCGGAACACACGGCCAGGAUCCAGCCAGUCAGAACUGACUCCCCCAUCAAUCACAUCUUUGCAGAAAAAUCUACACCAGAGCUUGCUAGAUUCCUAGGUUAGUGAAAAAGAUUUUUUCUUUUUUUUUUUUUUUUGGUAACUAACAUUGCAAAGUAAACAUUAUAUCAUGUUCAUUAUACAUAAGUAA
rnacentral:lncRNA from 10 species